rnacentral:rRNA from 1 species
AGGGUUUGAUUCUGGCUCAGGACGAACGCUGGCGGCGUGCUUAACACAUGCAAGUCGAACGGAAAGACCCUGCUUGCAGGGUACUCGAGUGGCGAACGGGUGAGUAACACGUGGGUGAUCUGCCCUGCACUUCGGGAUAAGCCUGGGAAACUGGGUCUAAUACCGGAUAGGACCAUCGUUUAGUGUCGGUGGUGGAAAGUUUUUCGGUGCAGGAUGAGCUCGCGGCCUAUCAGCUUGUUGGUGGGGUAAUGGCCUACCAAGGCGUCGACGGGUAGCCGGCCUGAGAGGGUGGACGGCCACACUGGGACUGAGACACGGCCCAG